rnacentral:lncRNA from 1 species
UUUGGUAUUUUGGUUAGUAAAUAAUAAAAAAACAAAGUAUGAUACAAUCAAAUGAUGCUUGGUGGUCUCUCCCAAUGCAAACCCAAUGGAUGAGGGGUAAGGAUGAUACCAAGGUGUGAUCCCAAUGCUAAUGCAUAUGAUGAGAAAUAGCAUGAGGGAUCUUAGGGUCAAAAUUGGGAUCUUACAAUGGCACCAAAGAGAGUCAACAACAUCAACCAACUAUUUAACUCAAAUAUAAUUGUACAAGCCUAAUACCAAGACUUCUCCUAUAAUUUU